rnacentral:rRNA from 1 species
AAUCAACGCUGGCGGCGUGCCUAACACAUGCAAGUCGAACGGGAAAGUGGAGCAAUCCAUGAGUAUAGUGGCGACCGGGUGAGUAACACGUGACUACCUACCCUCGAGUGGGGGAUAACCCCGAGAAACCGGGGCUAAUACCGCAUAACAUCGAGAGAUCAAAGGAGCAAUUCGCUUGAGGAGGGGGUCGCGGCUGAUUAGAUAGUUGGUAGGGUAACGGCCUACCAAGGCGAUGAUCGGUAUCCGGCCUGAGAGGGCGCACGGACACACUGGAACUGAAACACGGUCCAGACUCCUACGGGAGGCAGCAGUGGGGAAUUUUGCGCAAUGGGGGAAACCCUGACGCAGCAACGCCGCGUGGAGGAUGAAGUCCCUUGGGACGUAAACUCCUUUCGACCGGGAAGAUUAUGACGGUACCGGUGGAAGAAGCCCCGGCUAACUUCGUGCCAGCCGCCGCAGUAAUAC